UUAAUUAAUAGAGGUUGCAGUCAACAAUAGUAAAAUCAUUGAACCUACCAGGGUACUGAGGUGAUUUGAAAGGGGCGACUGCCGAAGGCUUGUUCUUGGUAGGGACGAGGCUGGGCCAGGGUUGAAAAAGCUUUGGACUGUCGUUGUCAUUAUGCAACGGGGUGCUAUUGGAUGG
rnacentral:ncRNA from 2 species